rnacentral:lncRNA from 1 species
ACACUCCCAACAUGUAGGUGGCCUCAUCAGAAGGCAAGCCUGCUCAAUUCAUUUCUUCAGACAUCACUCCGAAAUUGCCAGAGUGGUUUCCCACUGACAGACUUCAUCGCUGUACUGCACAUCUCUUCACUACAAAUGGGGAGAUGAGACAGAGACAAAAAGAGAAAUGGAUUUACUGUGCUGGGGAAGUUAAGCACACACUGGGUUGGAAUUUCAUUUCCACUGAAUUAGAAGCUCUGGCUCAGCACGGAUGACACAGUGAUGCUCCUUUAAUAACACAAAAUAAAUAAAACAUGGAAAAGGU